rnacentral:tRNA from 1 species
AAGAUUUUAAGUUAAUUAAACUGUGAGCCUUCAAAGCUCGAAAUGGAGAUGGUCCAAAUCUUA